rnacentral:rRNA from 1 species
CUAAGUUUGAUGGCGACCGGCGCACGGGUGAGUAACACGUAUCCAACCUGCCGAUGACUCGGGGAUAGCCUUUCGAAAGAAAGAUUAAUACCCGAUGGCAUAGUUCUUCCGCAUGGUAGAACUAUUAAAGAAUUUCGGUCAUCGAUGGGGAUGCGUUCCAUUAGGUUGUUGGCGGGGUAACGGCCCACCAAGCCUUCGAUGGAUAGGGGUUCUGAAAGGAAGGUCCCCCACAUUGGAACUGAGACACGGUCCAAACUCCUACGGGAGGCAGCAUG